rnacentral:tRNA from 2 species
UGGAACGUAGCUCAGUUGGUAGAGUGGCCGGCUUAUAUCCGGUGGGGCGAAGGUUCAAGUCCUUCCGUUCCGA